GUUCGAGAUAACUUCACCCCUCCCCUGUGGAGGUGGCAGUGAUGUCACCGACUGUCAUCUUUGAGUGUUUCUCCACAGCUUUCGGAAUGUGUCACCAACUUUGCUGUCCUGUUGGAUGUCUCUUGGGUGUCCGGGCUCUCCCUUAGAGAACGGGUGAGAAGCUCGGUCUUCCAGGAGGGGUUCAGUGUCGAUCCGCUGCUCCUCCGCAUUGAGAGGAGCCAGACGAGGUGGCAGGGGCUUCUGAUUCGGAUGCCUCCUGGACGCCUCCAAGGUGAGGUGUUCCGUGCAUUUCCCACCGGAAAGAGACCCCGAGGACGACCCAGGACACGCUGGAGAGACCGUGUCUCUCGGUUUGCUUGGGAGCGCCUCGGGAUCCCUCCGGAAGAGCUGGAAGAAGUGGCUGGGGAAAGGGAGUCUGGGUAUGCCUCCUGAAGAUACUUCCCCCAUGACCCGACCCGGAAAAGUGUUAGAUAAUGGAUGGAUGGAGUAAGUGAGGUUUGAAUUGUGCAAUCGUGGGAUUUAUUUGGCAUGCACAGCAGAAAGUCUCAUUUUAUCAACGUAAAGCAUCGUGUAACAAGUGCUUUCAUUGGCAUAUCAAAUAUUGCCUCACUACCUCGCCUCACCUUGCUAUCUAUGCUUUCAAAACUACACAUUUAUUGUUUCGUUCUAUCCAUAAACAUAGAUUCGCUGAAGGCUUUUACAGUCUGUCAACAUGUCGUGAAUAAAAGCUCUUAAAUUCA